rnacentral:rRNA from 1 species
GGAGUUAGCCGGUGCUUCUUCUGCGAGUAACGUCACAGAUGUAAGGUAUUAACUUACACCCUUUCCUCCUCGCUGAAAGUGCUUUACAACCCGAAGGCCUUCUUCACACACGCGGCAUGGCUGCAUCAGGGUUUCCCCCAUUGUGCAAUAUUCCCCACUGCUGCCUCCCGUAGGAGUCUGGGCCGUGUCUCAGUCCCAGUGUGGCUGAUCAUCCUCUCAGACCAGCUAGGGAUCGUCGCCUAGGUGAGCCUUUACCUCACCUACUAGCUAAUCCCACCUGGGCUUAUCCAUCAGCGCAAGGCCCGAAGGUCCCCUGCUUUCCCCCGUAGGGAGUAUGCGGUAUUAGCAGUCGUUUCCAACUGUUAUCCCCACAAAUGGGCAAAUUCCCAGGCAUUACUCACCCGUCCGCCGCUCGUCAUCUUCAAAAGCAAGCUUUUGAAAUGUUACCGCUCGACUUGCAUGUGUUAGGCCUGCCGCCAGCGUCAUCUGAGCGAGAGUACAACUACUACGA